AACUUCCAUCUUCAGCUUCAGAUUGCUGAGGACUGUUUGUCUUCGCGUAAUCUGAUAUAAAUAUGGAAAGUGUUAAGAAAUCGUCAAAUUAGUAUUGUUCAAUAUGUAAUGUUUUAUUUAAUAUCGUCUUACUCUGGUAUGUUACGUUGUAACAUCAGCACAGUUAAUGCUGCAUUUUGUAUUUAUUAUUACUGUAUAGGAAAAAGUGUGUAAUAGGUUAUGUUUGAAAUACAUGAAUAUGCAAGAACAAGGCUUAACCUCUAAUCAGAGAAAGUUCAAUAUGUGAAAGUUCCUCGAAAGAUUAUCCAGUUAUGAGAAACCUACACUUCCUCGAUCAAUCCAUAUACGUAUAAUGCAUUUUUUACUCUGUUUCCCUUUUUCUCGUCUCAAAAUUCUCUAAAGAAAAUUUCUUGGUUAUCAGGCUAGGCCUAUAACUGAAACAAAUCAGUGCAGUAUUUUGUUGCGGUAAAAGUAAAAUAUUUUGACAAUAUGAAAUUCAAUUUGAAACCAGAAAACUGCAAUCUCUCUGUUCAAAGGUUAUCUGUGUGUAUUCCGUUAACAGUGUAUUUAUUUUUUAUUUUUCUACUGAACUUUACAUCAGUACCACUAAGAUCAUCUGAAAGGAAGACUUUAGAACAGUUCUUUAAAAGCGCUGUUGUGCAAAACAAGGAUAAAAGUGUAGUACUUAGUGUAAAUGUGUUGGAUAAAGAAAGUAUAAAGAGAAAUUUCAAUAGUGAAGACAAAAAGAACAUGCCUCCAACUGAACUUCUUGCUUCAAUAUUUUUUAAGGUUGACAAAAAUGGAGAUAAACUGUUGACGAUAGACGAGCUUUCCGAGUACAUUCAUCUGGAGACGCAAAAAACAUAUAAAUCAAGGAAUUCAAGAAAAUUAUGGACUAUUUAUGUCGAUUGACAGAGAUCCAGCUAAUGGUGUUGUGUCAUGGACAGAGUACCACAAGUAUUUCCUUCU